CCACCAGACUACCUUGCCCAACCAAACUCCGAAUACCGGUGACCGUAUCACGGCAGUCAGAGCGUGGCGGAUAAGCGUCAUGCUCAAGAGGGAAACAGCCCAGACCGACGGCUAAGGUCCCAAAAUCCAGGUUAAGUGCACCAUGAAAGGAAGUGAGAGUGCUAAGACAGUGAGGAUGUUGGCUUAGAAGCAGCCACCAUUUAAAAAGUGCGUAACAGCUUACUCAUCGAGCAUUCUCGCGCCGAAAAUGAUCGGGCCUCAAACCUGGUACCGAAGCCACGGGCUUCGUGAUUCCUGAGGGAGUUGCGGAGCUGUAGCGGAGCGUUCCACGCAAGGUUGAAGGGAUACCGUGAGGAGUCCUGGACAACGUGGAAGCGAGAAUCCGGGCAUAAGUAGCGCGCGAAGACGAGUGAGAAGCUCGUCCGCCGUAAGCCUAAGGUUUCCUGGGGAAGGUAACUCCGCCCAGGGUUAGCCGGUCCCUAAGGCGAGGCUGAAAAGCGUAGCUGAUGGGAAGCAGGUCAACAUUCCUGCGCCGCUUUGCAGGUGAUCAAGACACAGCAGGGGAGGUGAAGGAGGCUAGGCCAUCCCGACGACCGCAAAUGUCGGGUCGAUGUCGCCAGCUAUACGGUCCGUUGGCAAAUCCGCGGGCUGUGGUGAGGGCAUCGAGGAUCCCACUUCGAGGAGUACUGGCUGAUGCCAUGCUUACGAGAAAAACCUCGGUUGUGAAUCUGCAGUGCGACCGUACUAAAACCGACACAGGUAGGCAAGGAGAGUAUCCUAAGGCGCUCGAGUCACCCCUCAUUAAGGAACUAGGCAAAAUGACCCCGUAACUUCGGGACAAGGGGAGCCCCUGGGGGUACUAAGCUCUCGGGGGCCGCAGAGAAUCGGGCUGGGGAACUGUUUACUAAAAACACAGGUCUGUGCCAAGCCGCAAGGCAACGUAUACAGACCGACGCUUGCCCAGUGCUGGAAGGUUAAGAGGUGGUGUGAGGUCUUCGGACUGAAGCACCUAAUCGAAGCCCCAGUAAAAGGCGGCCGUAACUAUGACGGUCCUAAGGUAGCGAAGUUCCUUGUCGGGUAAGUUCCGACGCGCAUGAAUAGCGUAAUCACUUGGCCGGUGUCUCAAUGAGGAGCUCGGCGAACUUGCAGCGGCGGUGAAGAUACCGCCUACCCGCAGAUGGACGAAAAGACCCCGUGAACCUUUACUGUAGCCUCAUACUGGGUUCAGACAUGACAUGCGUAGGAUAGGUGGGAGACUUCGAUGCUCGGGUUCCGGCUCGGGCUGAGUCGACGGUGAAAUACCAC
rnacentral:rRNA from 1 species